rnacentral:rRNA from 1 species
GAUGAACGCUGGCGGCGUGCCUAAUACAUGCAAGUCGAGCGAACAGACGAGGAGCUUGCUCCUCUGACGUUAGCGGCGGACGGGUGAGUAACGCGUGGAUAACCUACCUAUAAGACUGGGAUAACUUCGGGAAACCGGAGCUAAUACCGGAUAAUAUAUUGAACCGCGUGGUUCAAUAGUGAAAUACGGUUUUGCUGUCACUUAUAGAUGGAUCCGCGCCGCAUUGGCUAGUUGUUACGGUAACGGCUUACCAAGGCAACGAUGCGUUGCCGACCGGCGUGGGGGGUAGCCCACAUGGGAAGGUAGCCAGCGACCAGAGGACUGAGGGACGCAGCAGUAGGGAAUCGUAGGCAAUGGUGGAAAACUUGACGGAGUAAGCGGGCGUGAGUUAUGAAGGCGCUCGGAUCGGAAAACUCUGUUACUAGUGAAGAACAAAUGUGUACGUAACUAUGCCCGUCUUGACGGUACCGAAUCAGAAAGCCACGGCUAACUACGUG